rnacentral:rRNA from 1 species
UGGGGAAUAUUGCACAAUGGGGGAAACCCUGAUGCAGCGACGCCGCGUGAGUGAAGAAGUAUUUCGGUAUGUAAAGCUCUAUCAGCAGGGACGAAUAAAUGACGGUACCUGACUAAGAAGCCCCGGCUAACUACGUGCCAGCAGCCGCGGUAAUACGUAGGGGGCAAGCGUUAUCCGGAUUUACUGGGUGUAAAGGGAGCGUAGACGGUGAUGUAAGUCAGAUGUGAAAGCCCGGGGCUCAACCCCGGGACUGCAUUUGAAACUAUGUUGCUAGAAUGCAGGAGAGGUAAGUGGAAUUCCUAGUGUAGCGGUGAAAUGCGUAGAUAUUAGGAGGAACACCAGUGGCGAAGGCGGCUUACUGGACUGUAACUGACGUUGAGGCUCGAAAGCGUGGGGAGCAAACA